rnacentral:rRNA from 1 species
GAUGAACGCUGGCGGCGUGCCUAAUACAUGCAAGUCGAGCGAACAGACGAGGAGCUUGCUCCUCUGAUGUUAGCGGCGGACGGGUGAGUAACACGUGGAUAACCUACCUAUAAGACUGGGAUAACUUCGGGAAACCGGAGCUAAUACCGGAUAACAUGUUGAACCGCAUGGUUCAACAGUGAAAGACGGUCUUGCUGUCACUUAUAGAUGGAUCCGCGCCGCAUUAGCUAGUUGGUAAAGUAACGGCUUACCAAGGCAACGAUGCGUAGCCGACCUGAGAGGGUGAUCGGCCACACUGGAACUGAGACACGGUCCAGACUCCUACGGGAGGCAGCAGUAGGGAAUCUUCCGCAAUGGGCGAAAGCCUGACGGAGCAAUGCCGCGUGAGUGAAGAAGGUCUUCGGAUCGUAAAACUCUGUUAUUAGGGAAGAACAAAUGUGUAAGUAACUAUGCACGUCUUGACGGUACCUAAUCAGAAAGCCACGGCUAACUACGUG